CAGGCCUAACACAUGCAAGUCGAGCGAAGGGAGUACUACGGUACGAACUUAGCGGCGGACGGGUGAGUAACGCGUGGACAAUCUACCCUGUAGACUGGGGUAACACCUCGAAAGGGGUGCUAAUACCGGAUAAUGUCGAGAAGCGGCAUCGCUUUUCGAAGAAAGGAGGGAAUCCGCUAUAGGAGGAGUCCGCGUCCCAUUAGCUAGUUGGUGAGGGUAACGGCCCACCAAGGCGACGAUGGGUAGCCGGCCUGAGAGGGUGAACGGCCACACUGGAACUGAGACACGGUCCAGACUCCUACGGGAGGCAGCAGUGGGGAAUAUUGUGCAAUGGGGGAAACCCUGACACAGCGACGCCGCGUGAGUGAAGAAGGCCUUCGGGUCGUAAAGCUCAAUAGUAUGGGAAGAAAGAAAUGACGGUACCAUACGAAAGCCCCGGCUAACUACGUGCCAGCAGCCGCGGUAAU
rnacentral:rRNA from 1 species